UACAGAGGGUGCAAGCGUUGUUCGGAAUUAUUGGGCGUAGAGGGCGCGUAGGCGGUGCGGUAAGUCUGUAGUGAAAUCUCUGGGCUCAACUCAGAGUCUGCUGCAGAAACUGCCGUGCUUGAGUGUGGGAGAGGUGAGUGGAAUUCCCGGUGUAGCGGUGAAAUGUGUAGAUGUCGGGAGGAACACCUGUGGCGAAAGCGGCUCACUGGACCACAACUGACGCUGAGGCGCGAAAGCUAGGGGAGCAAACAGG
rnacentral:rRNA from 1 species